rnacentral:misc_RNA from 1 species
GGAAAGAAGGCAAAUAAAUGUGAUAUUGGCGUAUGGUAUCUGUCCUACUGCUAUUAUGUUUAGCUUUCACCUAUUUUUGUGUGCUGCUAAUAUAUAAUUUCCAUGUUGGAACGAUGCUUGAUAAGAUAUGCUAUAUAAAUUGUAGAGUUGAUUUCUUUCCUUUUUUUAAUAUGGACAUUUGCUUUAUUCAAUGAUGUUUCUGUUCAUGUUACUAAAUUACAUUUUCUUUUUAUGCUGGUGAUCUCUUGAUGCUCUUACCUUGGUAAUUUGCUUCCAAGAUGAAAAUGAACAUGAUAUAACAGCUAAUCUUUGCAUAAGCGCAUGUACAUGUUUGAAAUUAGCUUAGCUGCAGUUAAUCAGAUUAAUAAACAAUGGUAGCAAAUCCAUACUAGUAAUGGAUUGCAUUCAAGAAUAAAUAUAUGUGCAACAUGUGCUGAAUUGUCCCUCAUUUAUGGUGAAUGUACCGUAGAUUCUUUGUCUAUUUGAUGAAUUUGUUAUUCUUGCAUGUCCAGGAGAGUUGCUUUGCGAAGGUGGAU